AUACGGAGGGUGCAAGCGUUACUCGGAAUCACUGGGCGUAAAGCGCGCGCAGGCGGGCUGAUAAGUUGGAUGUGAAAGCCUACGGCUCAACCGUAGAACUGCAUCCAAAACUGUCAGUCUAGAGUGUGGGAGAGGAAGAUGGAAUUAGUUGUGUAGGGGUAAAAUCCGUAGAGAUAACUAGGAAUACCAAAAGCGAAGGCAAUCGUCUGGAACACUACUGACGCUGAGGCGCGAAGGCGUGGGGAGCAAACAGGAUUAGAAACCCCGGUAGUCC
rnacentral:rRNA from 1 species